rnacentral:misc_RNA from 1 species
GAUGAAGAACGCAGCGAAAUGCGAUAAGUAAUGUGAAUUGCAGAAUUCAGUGAAUCAUCGAAUCUUUGAACGCACAUUGCGCCCGCCAGUAUUCUGGCGGGCAUGCCUGUCCGAGCGUCAUUUCAACCCUCGAACCCCUCCGGGGGGUCGGCGUUGGGGAUCGGCCCUGCCCCUUGGCGGUGGCCGUCUCCGAAAUACAGUGGCGGUCUCGCCGCAGCCUCUCCUGCGCAGUAGUUUGCACACUCGCAUCGGGAGCGCGGCGCGUCCACAGCCGUUAAACACCCAACUUCUGAAAUGUUGACCUCGGAUCAGGUAGGAAUACCCGCUGAACUUAAGCAUAUCAAUAAGCGGAGGA